rnacentral:rRNA from 1 species
AGAACGAACGCUGGCGGCAGGCCUCAAACAUGCAAGUCUAGGGGGUGUAGCAAUACAUCACCGGCGGACGGGUGCGUAACGCGUGGGAAUGUACCUAUUGGUUCGGAACAACACAGGGAAACUUGUGCUAAUGCCGAAUGUGCCCGCAAGGGGAAAGAUUUAUCGCCAAUAGAUCAGCCCGCGUUCGAUUAGCUAGUUGGUGAGGUAAUGGCUCACCAAGGCGACGAUCGAUAGCUGUUCUGAGAGGAAGAUCAGCCACACUGGGACUGAGACACGGCCCAGACUCCUACGGGAGGCAGCAGUUGGGAAUCUUGGACAAUGGGGGAAACCCUGAUCCAGCCAUGCCGCGUGAGUGAUGAAGGCCUUCGGGUUGUAAACUCUUUCGCGCACGACGAUAAUGACGGUAGUGGCGAGAAGAAGCUCCGGCUAACUUCGCGCCAGCAGCCGC